CCUAAAAUAAAUUACUGUACAUUGCACAAAUGGAUCUAUGUGCCACAUGGAUUAGGUUCUAAUUGUCACCAGUUGUUAUUCAAAGUGUUGUGUGUGUCUGUAUUAUUUUUAAAACAGGGAUCAAUAGUUAUAUUUAGAUAUGCCAUUGAUUCAUAUGAGAAUAAUUGGCUGUCUAAUAUAGUAAGAAAUCCAACAUAUGUGAAAGACAUCAUUUUCUUUACAAUCACCUUGAAUUUAUUGUUCAUAUUAGUGCUCUAGUCUUCAAAUUUAUAGGUAUAUUAUUUUGAAUAUUUGAUACUAAUGGGAUUUAGUGAUGUCCAAACUGUGUUCACUAAUAUAUUUUAAUAUCAUUAAUAGAACUAGUUAUUGUGAUGAGCACAGAGGGAUCCAGCACUGAUGGUGACCUGCCUUUGCAGGCUUCUGAUAUUGAUGUAACAACAUGUGUGAUGGAGGAGGAAGUGGCUCCCUCGGAGUCUAAUGAUGGACCUUCCACUUCUGGACAUCAGCCUCCCGCCCCCCCAGCCAGAAGCCCCUCCCCAG